CAUAGGUUUGGCCUUAAAAGAGAAAAAAAAUUAUUUGCCAAUCAAUCUAGAAAAAAGAAUUGGAUCAAAAUAAAGGACAUAAGAAUAGAGUCCCUGAAAUGAAAUGAAAUGAAAUGACUGGGAGGUGUAUUGAAUCCAUUUAAAUAUAGACCUCACACUAAAAUCCAUAAGAAUCAUGGUUAUAGAAUACAGAGUAAAUGAUGUGAAUCUAAGCAAUAUAAAACAAUAAUAUAUCUAAGAAAGAUCAAGAAGUUGAAAAAAGGGAUAUGGGAGAAUUGUUCUUUUGUAGCAGAGAGCCAGUUAUAUCUAAAAUUUAAGCAUGCAAGAAAAAAAAAAAGAAUGACUGAAAGCUUAAGUUUUCUUUAAUCUUUUUUCUUAUCCUCAGCAGGAUAUUUUAAGAAACAUAUCCCUUGAGCAGAAGGAACAAUGAUUUAAUGUUCACAAUUUACCAUCUGUUAAAUUCAAGUGAAAUUAAAUUCAAAACACUUUAUUAAAAGUGGUGUGGUCCCAUUUAAAUAACUGUCCCUUAUUCUAUCUUUCCAUUCUUGCCUUGUCAAUUCAUCCGUCCAUCAAUGGACACAUAUGCACAGACAAUUGCCUCCUUUGGGAAAUCAGUGACAGUGUCUUCUAACUCCAACUUGCAAGGGCCUCUGUGGGGCCAGCUUUGAAAUGUGUGCCCCACGGCUGGACACAGAGGACUGGGGUCUGACAGCUGCAUGGGACUUCCAGCUGGUGGGAGAAUGACUCAGCUGCUCUGGUGGCAGAGCCGGGAGAGGUCCUUGAUGUGCUGGGAGCAGCCUGCUCUCCUAGAGUUUGUUUGGGUGAAGGAGGGGUGAUUGUUUUCCUCUUGAUACCCAGGGACCAAGUGGGAGAGUUGCCUGGGGUGGAGUCUUCUUGGGGCCUGUGGUAUAGGGUUGACUGACAGAGGAAAACUCAGCACGACGUGGCUGGAAGUGCAACUCAGGCUGUCCAGUGGUUGCAGGAGUGGCAGGGGGCUUUCUGGGUCACAGGAACUUUAGGGACUUUCUGAAAGCACCACUGUAAGCCAUGUGUAAUUAACAGCCAGAGUCAUCUGGAGAUACCAAUGAAGCAAACAUGUCCUACAGAAGUGAUCACAAAGAACAACUUCAUGCGAAUAACUAGUAUUUCAUUGGCUCCCAAAUACCUAUGACGUGUCUUAGUAACAUUUAGUCGUUAUGAGGAUCCUUCACAUAUUCUAGGCUUUUAUAGGUUGAACUCCAAACAGUAAAACUAAAAGGAAGAAAUAAUCCUUGUCGACUUAAAAAAAAUGCAUAAGGUGAGAGUUGUAAGUUAAAUUUUAUUCGGGGCAAAAUGAGGACUAUAGCCUGGGAGGCGGCAUUUCAGAUAGCUCUGAGAAACUGCUCCAAAUGGUGUGUGUGUGGUGGGGGGGGGUGAAGUCAGUAUAUUAUGUGAUUUUGGUGAAAGGGGAGGCACAUGCAAUUAGGUACACAUUUUGCAUAGGGCUGCUGCUCCUCUCGAGGAGCAGAUGUAACCAUGAAGGAUUUUAGUGCUUUUCUAGAUGUGAGGAGAUGCAUGAAUUGAGCUCAUAAAAUCUCAUAUCUAUCUGAAGAUCUGUGCUGUCAGUUUGCCCAGAGUAUGGAGUGCCUCUUUCCUGAUCUCCACCUUGAUUUUUUCAGGGGGUGUUGAGGGUUGGCAGCUACUGUGGCUCAUGAUCUAGUCCUUGUAGAGGCGGAUGGUAAGUGCCCAUCUCCAGCUCACACCACAGAGGCCACUGUCCCUGCUGCUCCAGGCAUGUCAGGUCCCUGAGGAGCUGGUCAGUCAGUACUGGAUCUGCACUCUGCCCUCUUUGCCUUGAGUUCCUUGCCUGUUUAUCCUCAGUUUGGUACUGGGUGUCUUUAUCGCCGCUAGUUGGACACCUUGGUGGGGUCAGGGCGUUCCUUUUCAUCACUUGUCUCUGCUCUUUCGCCUUGUACUGUCUCUGAGGGCUGUUUGUCCUACAGGCGCGGCCUUAAGCCUGCUUUCUGGCACCUGCCUUGCAGACUUUGCGAUUCUCUCCGCACUGGCUUCUGUUCGGACAAUUUGCUGUGAAUCACCGCUAGCACCGAUGGAAGGCUUUCCUUCCACUUCGGUUUUGUGUCCAGAGAGCCCGCCUGGCUUUCAUGCAGAGAGCACAGGGUGGCGGGGUGCAGAUUGCCAGGUCUACGUUUCCAUUUUCUCCUGGCUUCAGUUACCUGGGGCCAAACUAAGGAAGAUUAAAAGGAAUGGGAACAUUCCAUUGGUUUUCAAUCAAAUGAAGUUCUGAGGAGCGGGAGGAAAUCUCGCGAGGUCGUGCCUGGUCCGCCCACAUGGGAAUUCCCCUUGUCCCUCAAAUCCAGACCCUUCCUCACUUUAGUAGCCGCCUCUGUAGCAGGUUGACUGCGUGGUACCACAGGGCCUCUGACCAGUCACCUUAGUCUUGGCCCUAAAAGUGCCAGAGUAGUGAUGCUGGCAGUUCGGAUGCUGUAAGGUGUUUCCUUGAAGUGAAAAGUGAAAAUUAUCCACUAAAUGAGGACAGAAAGAACGUCCUAUGCUGAGGUUGCGGAGACCUAUGGUAAGAACGAAUCUUCUAUCUGUGAAAGUGGGAAGGAAAAAGAUAUUCCUAUUAGUUUUGCCGCCGCCCCUCAAACUGCAAAAGUUAUGCUGUGCGUGAUAGCUACUUAAUUGUGUGGGAAAAGAUAUUAAAUUUGUAUAAUGAGAUGUUUGGAGAGAGACCACAUUUACAUAACUUUUUAUUACACUAUUUUGUUCUAAUUGUUCUGUUUUAUUAUUAGUUAUUGUUGUUAGUUUUACUGUGUCAAAUCUAUCAAUUAAACUUUAUCAAAAGUGUAUACGCAUGGGAAGAGAGUUCCCCGUUGUGCCUCAGCGAAAACGAAUCUGACUAGUAUGCAAGUGAAUGCGGGUUCAGUCCCUGGCCUUGUUUGGUGGGUUAACGAUCCAGCGCUGCUGUGAGCUCUGGGGUAGGUCACAGACGUGACUUGGAUCUGGCUGUUGCUGUGGCGUAGGCCGGCAGCGGUAGCUCCGAUUCAACCCCUAACCUGGGAACUUCCAUAUGCCACGGGUGCGGCCC
rnacentral:lncRNA from 1 species